CGUGUUCAGUCCAACCCCCCGGGACUGAACCUAGGCGACCCCCGUCCCUCCCCCCUGACGGGGGUCGUCCCAU
rfam:Kutzneria sp. 744 genomic scaffold supercont1.1, whole genome shotgun sequence.